rnacentral:rRNA from 1 species
AUUGAACGCUGGCGGCAGGCUUAACACAUGCAAGUCGAGCGAGCGGCGGACGGGUGAGUAAUGUCUGGGAAACUGCCUGAUGGAGGGGGAUAACUACUGGAAACGGUAGCUAAUACCGCAUACCAUCAGAUGUGCCCAGAUGGGAUUAGCUAGUAGGUUGGGUAAUGGCUCACCUAGGCGACGAUCCCUAGCUGGUCUUAGAGGAUGACCAGCCACACUGGAAAGUAGACACGCUCCAGACUCCUACGGGAGGCAGAAGUGGUGAAUAUGGCACAAUGGGCGCAAGCCUGAUGCAGCCAUGCCGCGUGUGUGAAGAAGGCCUUCGGGUUGUAAAGCACUUUCAGCGAGGAGGCGUUACUCGCAGAAGAAGCACCGGCUAACUCCGUGCCAGCAGCCGCGGUAAGUC